CAGCAGCCGCGGGAAAACGUAGGGUGCAAGCGUUAAUCGGAAUUACUGGGCGUAAAGCGUGCGCAGGCGGUUAUAUAAGACAGAUGUGAAAUCCCCGGGCUCAACCUGGGAACUGCAUUUGUGACUGUAUAGCUAGAGUACGGCAGAGGGGGAUGGAAUUCCGCGUGUAGCAGUGAAAUGCGUAGAUAUGCGGAGGAACACCGAUGGCGAAGGCAAUCCCCUGGGCCUGUACUGACGCUCAUGCACGAAAGCGUGGGGAGCAAACAGGAUUAGAUACCCCUGUAGUCCCUGUCUCUUAUAC
rnacentral:rRNA from 1 species